rnacentral:tRNA from 1 species
GCCUGGGUGGCUCAGUCGGUUAAGCAUCUGACUUCGGCUCAGGUCGUGAUCUCAUGGUUUGUGAGUUCGAGCCCCACGUCGGGCU